CGUACACUCCUGCGGGAGGCAGCAGUGGGGAAUAUUGCACAAUGGGCGCAAGCCUGAUGCAGCCAUGCCGCGUGUAUGAAGAAGGCCUUCGGGUUGUAAAGUACUUUCAGCGGGGAGGAAGGCGAUAAGGUUAAUAACCUUGUCGAUUGACGUUACCCGCAGAAGAAGCACCGGCUAACUCCGUGCCAGCAGCCGCGGUAAUACGGAGGGUGCAAGCGUUAAUCGGAAUUACUGGGCGUAAAGCGCACGCAGGCGGUCUGUCAAGUCGGAUGUGAAAUCCCCGGGCUCAACCUGGGAACUGCAUUCGAAACUGGCAGGCUAGAGUCUUGUAGAGGGGGGUAGAAUUCCAGGUGUAGCGGUGAAAUGCGUAGAGAUCUGGAGGAAUACCGGUGGCGAAGGCGGCCCCCUGGACAAAGACUGACGCUCAGGUGCGAAAGCGUGGGGAGCAAACAGGAUUAGAAACCCGGGUAGUCCC
rnacentral:rRNA from 1 species